CUGAGGAUCGUGUCUAUUAUUUUUCACAGGGAAAGGAGGGUUUUAAAACCAGAAAUUAUAAAGCAAAAAGCAAAAACAACCAAGAAACAAAAUGUCCCAGAACGUGGCAGAACAGGUCUGCAAUGCAAAAUCCCUCCAUUGAGAUCUGCAGUUUGAAGUAUUUAUUUUUUUCUCCUGUGUUCCCAGUCACCAGAGAGUGCAAGAAUCAGAGUGCAGAGAGCUUGAAGCAAGGAAAAGUAACAAGACUUAAAGCAAUUUACCUGCUGAAACUGAGAAGAUAUUGUCAACGUACGCAGUCUGAGAUAAAGCAAAGCAGAAGAAAAGCUGCAGAAGCUGAACAUCAUGCAGAAUGGGUGAUGCUUCUUGAAUGAGGUGCACUCACCACACAUGCUCACAAGUCUGCACAGAAUCAAGAGAUACAUCGAGGACUGCCAGACCAAGAAGGUGGUCUGUUGCCUGGCUAAUGAGGCUUUCAUACCUAAAUCCCUGCAGCUGUGUCUCCUUGCUGUAAGAAGGAUGCACUGCUUUGGCUAGAACUUGAAGUGUGCCUGCAAGUCCACCAGCAUUGGUAUCAGCACCUCACAAUCCCAAGGUCUACAAAAUGCCAUAUGUGUACAUGAUCUUAACAACAGGGCCAAGGAGACAGAUGACAAGUUCUUCAAACGCUUCAAAAAAGUGCCAACUUUUAAUACUUUUAAUGUGCUGAUUUCAUUAGAGGGACUUAUCUCUGGACACUGUGGAGCAGCUCUAGCUUGGAUGAGUGCCUGUGGGUAUGUUGACACUGCAGUCACCACUGCAGCUGCAAGGUGAUGCAGAGGUAUGCAAAUCUGCUGUAGCCACCAUAAAGAGAGAAGAAAGCCCUCUCAGCCCAACAAUCUGGUUCUCAAAUAGGCUUGCAGGUUCUGCUGUUUCAUGCUGCAACAGCUACAGCUAGUCAUCGCACAAAAUUCAUGCCCAGAAAUAAGCGAUUGCUUUCUGGGAGCUUAUGUUGUCGUAUAGACUGGAGGUGUAAAAAGGCUUAUAUGAGUCUUUUACUAUCUUCCUUAUGUGGUAGCAUUACCAACACUAAGUACUAGAGGAAAUCUCCCAUCAGCUACGUGGAAGAUGUUCUAAACUGCAGACAUUCACAUGGCCAUGGUCAUUUACACAACCCUAGACAGGCUGUUAAUCCAUUUCUUCAACUCUGAAAUACAGCAAUUCAAAUCUUGUCUUUGAAAGCAUCCUUCCUCUGCAUCCACUUUAGAAUUUGAUCCAAGGUAUUACACAACUAAUUGCUAACUGGAUUGUCCAGACUGCUUGUAACUGUCAAAAAAGUAGAAAAAUUCCAAUUAAACUAUUUUAUGCAACCUUUUCAGUAGUAUGCUUCCUUAUCUUCUAUAUCACCCCCUUUAAAAGACUGAUGAAAACAAAAAUUUAAGAGUAUUAACUCAAGCAGGAAAACUGUCAUUCUAUUAAUUUCUCUUACUUAUUUCUGCAUUAUUUCAGGCAGCCUAGAGAUUCCUGGAAAGAACAGACACCAAAAUAAUUCUCAUUUAUAUUAGUGUGGGCCAUAAUUAGCUGAAAGGGCUGCUUUACUGAGGGCCUCUUUAAACCUUGUCCAUCUGGUUUCAAUCAAAUCAUCAAAAGAAACAGCAAAUGUCUCUGUCAGAAUAGCUGUUUCUUACUAACUACAAUAUUCAGUUAAAGGUAAGUUAGUUGACAGGAGUUGCACUGCCUGUAUGUCAAAGGCAAUCACCUCUGAUACCUGGUCUGACCUCAAAAUAUCACUGAGUAGGUGAGUGCCAAGCACCUUUCUCUACUAAGCACAGUCAUCAAGCUCUUUAAAUAGCAUAAAAGAGCUGCAAUUGGGAUUUUGAUUCCAACAUAUAAAAGAAUGACGUAGUCAGGGCAGAAGUCCCUUACAUUUCCUAACAGGACUUUCACUGUAGCUUACAGUCACUGUGUGCUAAUUUCUUGGGUAGAGUGGCAGGCCUGAUGAUGCAUGGGUGCUUGUUUUAAGUGUAUUUGGGAUUUUGCAUGCAUGCUUAAAAACCAAAUCUUGCCUGACCCAGUAUUCAUCUGGUUCUUCAUGAAAAUGGGUAUAUGCUACACGGCCACAACUGAAGGCAAGCAUGCAUGACAUACACCCAAAUGUUCACAUGGCAGACAGUUUACGGAAUUUACUGCAGACUAAAGGUGAAACAUAAUUGUUAAAGUAAUUACUGCAAACUAAACCCAUUAGCAAGCUGAGUGCACCAAGAAGCUGCAGGAACACCUGCUCAACACCUUAUGCUAUCUUGUGUGGUGCUGAAACAGUAACAAACCUUCCUUCUCAUCCCUUAUACCUGGCCAUUUCACUGUUUCACCUGUGGUCCCAUAGUUAAAUUACCUGCUGAGUUUUGGACAUCUGUGAUGCUUUUCCUGUACCACUUGUUCCUCCCAGGUUCCAACCCCUUUCACGCAUGCCAGUGUCCUCUCUUUGGAGAGGACAAGUGCUGCUGGCCUGAACUUCUGGGUUCCCCAAGCACAUGAACUGAGCAGGCCCCUGUAAGAAAAGUUUUCACAGCAACUACUACACUAAUGACCGAUGGAGGUCAACCAUAGCAGGUAUAGCAAAAUUUAAAAUAUUCUUUAUUUACCUGAAAGCCACAAGACUCAGAACUGUGUCUUAUUUAACCACUAACUUCUGGUAUGUCUCAGAAAAUUACACUCAGUACCUCUUCCACAGCAUCUUCUCUCAGCUGAGGGGGCCCAUGCAUUUCCUUCCUCUUGAAUUUGGUGUCUUCAGUCUGUUCAAUACCUUUAAUUCUGUGCUCUGGCCUUGAAGAAAAAUUUCCAGUUGGCUAAAGCCACAUGGGUAAGCAUUCCCCAGACUUAUGACAUCUGUAAUUUUUGGUUCCUUUUAAUAAAAUUAGGACACUUCAGAGGUAGCUUGUUUUUGUCUCCUCUCUGAACCUGUUUUCUUUCACUCCGAUGCAAUCCCAUGGUGUAACACAUAGUAUCAAUUAGCCUCUUCCACCACUCCGAAUUAGAAGGAUAUUUCAAUGGUCUUUUGCUGAAUUCUUCUAAGAGCUGGAACAACAUUGAAAUGUUGCAGAGAUUUCUUUCAACAUAUUUAAAAAAAAAAAAUUACCAUGAGCAUCAAGAAUAAUGUUAUCAAGAAAGAUCCCAGCACAAUCACAGUAACACUAAUUAGAAUGUUUAACAUCUCAUUUGGGAAUAGACUGGAUGCACAGCAUGAAUAUGUUGCCUGAAAAAUUUUUUUUUUUUUUUUUUUUUUUUUUUUUUUUAACUGGUAUGUGACUUUAUAUAAAUCAGAGGAAAUUAAGGUCAAAACAGGACACCUGACAUUACGUUACCUGCUUAGUCACAGCGCUUAUGUCACCUAAUAAAAUUGCAGCUGGCCUCACAUUAUUCCCCAGCUCUUCCGCACAAAUAUCGAUCUAUAUUUCAAAAAGAAAGACCACCAUUAACGCAAGGAUAUUAAAGAGGUUUGGUUUUUUUUUCCCAGUUCAAGUGAGGAACAUUGUUCAGCAAUAUCUUCAUACUGUCUUUUGGCUGUACAGAUAACUUCCUCUGCCUUUCAUUGAAAUGACAUCAGGAAAUCCUUUAUUCAAAGUAAAAUACUAUGGUACAUACCUAUUUUAAUAACAGUUCAUAUAUAUCCUUAAAA